rnacentral:rRNA from 1 species
CGCGUGCAGGAUGAAGGCUUCGGGUUGUAAACUGCUUUUGUACGGAACGAAAAGGUUCUUUCUAAUAAAGAGAGCCCAUGACGGUACCGUAAGAAUAAGCACCGGCUAACUACGUGCCAGCAGCCGCGGUAAUACGUAGGGUGCGAGCGUUAAUCGGAAUUACUGGGCGUAAAGCGUGCGCAGGCGGUUAUGUAAGACAGAUGUGAAAUCCCCGGGCUCAACCUGGGACCUGCAUUUGUGACUGCAUAGCUAGAGUACGGUAGAGGGGGAUGGAAUUCCGCGUGUAGCAGUGAAAUGCGUAGAUAUGCGGAGGAACACCGAUGGCGAAGGCAAUCCCCUGGACCUGUACUGACGCUCAUGCACGAAAACGUGGGGAGCAAACAGGAUUAGAUACCCUGGUAUCCACGCCCUAAACGAUGUCACUGGUUGUUGGGUCUU